UCGACAAAUGCAUCGAGUUCUUAGAUGACAUAUCUGUGUUGGAAACUGCCACUGCAGGGCCAUGUGUCUUCCUCUUCCCCGAGGUCAGGUGAGGGGGUUGCAUCCCUUCCUUGGUCUGGAACACUUGGAUGUUCCUUUAGGGUUCCUGCUUCACAAAAGAAACUGCCAGACAUUCUGCAGGACACAGAAGAAAGCAGCUGAUGAACUCGGCCGACACAAGGCCAAACAGAUCUUCACACUUCCUGCCUCACUGAAAAGUCAGCUGGACAUUAUGGGCCUAUAGGCUGAAGAUGGAAGCCCAAACAUUACAAAAAUACUUUGGGUGACUGGCAACAAGAUGUCUCUGUCAAUUCAAGAACUUUGGAAGUUGCUUACAAUGAACUGCCUGUUUACUUAGGUAAUAUUAUAUCCUUUUGGAGUCUUUGAUGAAGUUAAAGACUAGACAGUUAUAGUUUUCUUUAGCUAUAAUAAAAAAUAAAUUAGAUACGAAACUUUAGACUCACAAAGAUAGAUGAUAGAAUAUUUUCUUUAAUUUUUGCCUAAUACAAACAGACUAAAUAUUGUUACUGUAAUUCUUUCUUAGUAACUUUUGUUAUAUGUAAUUUUACUAUGUUAAAGUUAAAAUGUUCCUUUUAUUUAGACAGAAAAAGGAAAUGAUAUGGGAUGGCCUUCUGUAUACAUGUUGCUUUUAUUGGCUAAUGAAUAAAGCUGUUUUGACCAGUGGCUUAGCUGAGUAAAGUCAAGCGGGAAAUCUGAGCAGUGAUACAGAGAAAAAGUAGGCAGAGUCAAGCAGACACGAGCCAGCAAGCCAUGGAAAAAACAAGACAUGUAGAAAAUGAGGUAACACCACAGCCACAUGGCAAUACAUAGGCUAAUAGAAAUGGUUUAAGAUGUAAGAGCUAGCUAGAAAUACACCCAAGCCAUCUGCCAAAUAGCAUUCUAAUUAAUAUAGUUUCUGUGUAAUUAUUCCUCUCUGGGUGGCUGGGAUAUGAAAGUACAGUCUCUGUUUACAAUUACCUACUAUCAAAAGUUGCUAUCAUCUCUCAGUAAACUUUCUGUGUUAUAUGCUAAAAUGGAAUCUUCGUCAGUCUCUCCUUCAUUAUCAGGAGGAGGUUGAACUUCUUUUAACCAUUUCUCGUCUUUCAAAAGGACAAAUAAUGAAUAUGUAGGACAAAAUGAUCACAAAGUUAGUUCAUCUUGUACCCAACACCAGGUAAGGAGUCUGACCAGGCAGCUCCUAUAACUUGUCUUGUUUUCCUAGUUUUCUUCCUCCCUGAAACAACAGCUAACCCCGA